rnacentral:tRNA from 1 species
GGGGGCGUAGCUCACCUGGGAGAGCGCGACAUUCGCAUUGUCGAGGUAACCGGUUCAAGUCCGGCCGUCUCCACCA